rnacentral:tRNA from 1 species
GUCCCUGUAGCACAAUGGAUAGUGUGUUGGACUUCUAAUCCAAAGGUCGUGGGUUUGAAUCCCAAUUGGAAUG